rnacentral:rRNA from 1 species
AUGCACGCUGCCAGAAUGCUUCACACAUGCAAGUCAACUUGAACUUCGGUUUGGGUGGCGGACGGGUGAGUAACGCGUAAAGAACUUGCCUCACAGCUAGGGACAACAUUUGGAAACGAAUGCUAAUACCUGAUAUUAUGAUUAUAUGGCAUCGUAUAAUUAUGAAAGCUAUAUGCGCUGUGAGAGAGCUUUGCGUCCCAUUAGCUAGUUGGAGAGGUAACAGCUCACCAAGGCGAUGAUGGGUAGCCGGCCUGAGAGGGUGAUCGGCCACAAGGGGACUGAGACACGGCCCUUACUCCUACGGGAGGCAGCAGUGGGGAAUAUUGGACAAUGGACCGAGAGUCUGAUCCAGCAAUUCUGUGUGCACGAUGAAGUUUUUCGGAAUGUAAAGUGCUUUCAGUUGGGAAGAAAAAAAUGACGGUACCAACAGAAGAAGUGACGGCUAAAUACGUG